rnacentral:rRNA from 1 species
CCUGGUUGAUCCUGCCAAUAGCAUAUGCCGGUCUCAAAGAUUAAGCCAUGUGCACACCGCCGGUACAGUGAUACUGCGAAUGGCUCAUUAAAUCAGUUAUGAUCCCUUUGAUCACUUCAUCUGUUACUUGGAUAACUGUGGUAAUUCUAGAGCUAAUAUAAGCCGGCGAGUGCUGACCUCCAAGUAUGCAUGCAUUUAUCAGACUAAGACAAUCGGCUCGCCCAGCCACUUUGGUGACUCUAGAUAAACGCACAUCGCUGUGAUGGUGACGAUACAUUCAAGUUUCUGCCCUAUCAAAUUUCAAUGGCACUUUCUGUGCCUACUAUGGUGACCAUGGGUAAUGGAGAAUCAGGGUUUGAUUCCGGAGAGGGAACCUGAGGAAUAGAUACCGCAUUUAAGGAAGGCAGCAGGUGCACAAAUUACCCACUCCCGACUCGGGGAGGUUGUGACAAAAAAAUAACAAUACAGGACUCUUUCAGGGACCUUGACUACACUUUAAAUCCUUUAACAAGGAUCCAUUAGUGGGCAAGUCAGGUGACAGCAGCAGCAGUCAUUUCAGCUUCAAUAGAGUAUAUUAAAGUUGGUGCAGUUAAAAAGCUUGUAGCUGGAUCUUGGGAUCCAGCUGGCUGUCCACCACGAGGUGAGCUACAGCCUGUCCCAGCCCCUGCCUUGACGCCCCCUUGAUGCUCAUGACUGAGUGUCCCUUGGUCAGAAGCGUUCACUUUGAAAUAAUUAGUGUUCAAAGCAGGCCAGUCGCCUGAAUAUAAUAAUAGAAUAGGACUCUGGUUCUAUUUUGUUGGCUUUCAGAAACUGAGGCCAUGAAUAAGAGGGACGGCCGGGGAAAUUCCUAUUGUGCCACUAAGGUGAAAUUCUUGGACUGUUAAUGUUUUCAUUAAUCAAGAACUAAGUCGGAGGUUCGAAGACAAUCAAAUACUGUUGUAGUUCUGACCAUAAACAAUGCCGACUAGCGAUCCAGCUGCGUUACUGUCCCGCCAAGCAUCUUAGGGUUGCAAAGAUGAAACUAAAGGGAUUGACGGAAGGACACCACCAGAAGUGGAGCCCAUGGCUUAAUGUGACUCGAAACGGGAAAUCUCACCUGGCCUGGGCACCGAAAUGAUUGACAGAUUGAUAGCUCUUUCCCAAUUCAGUGGGUGUUGGUGCAUGGCCAGUCUUAGUUGGUGGAGCAAAUGAUCUGGUUAAUUCGAUAACAAACGAGACUCCUCCAUGCUAACUAGUUACGCAACACCGAGCGGUCAGCAUUCCACUUCUUAGAGGGACAAGUGGUGUUCAGCCAUACGUGAUCGAGCAAUAAUAGGACUAUGAUGCCCUUACAGGUCCGGGGCUGCAAGCACACUACACUGAACGGAUCAGCAUGUGUCUACUCUUCGCUGACAGGUGCAGGUAACCCACUGAACGUCGUUUAUGAUCGGGGUUGGGGAUUGCAAUCACUCCCAUGACCAAGGAAUUCCCAGUAAGUACCAGUUAUAAGCUUGUGUUGAUUAGGUCCCUUCCCUUUGUACACACCGCCCGCUACUACCGAUUGAAACUUGACUAUCUAGAGGAAGUAAAAAGGUUUCCAUAGGUGAACCUGCGGAAGGAUCAUUA